GGAGGCGCCCCGGGGAAGCGGCCGUUGGGCCGCGGGAGUCUGCGCCCCGCGUGAAACUGCUGCAACUCGAGCACUUCCUAAAACCUGACUCCAGAUCCGAGCUGGGGCACUCGGUGUUUUUCUUUUCCUCCAUCGCCACCUUCUCUUGUGCUGCUCCCAUCUUUGUUUUUGUUAAGAAAGAUGCUGUCUUCUGUAUCCCUCCUUUUGUUUUUCAAAGCGCAUAUUGCAGAAUACUUGCUUCUGUAAGUAAUGUUUUGCGUAAAAUCCAUUCGCGUAUAUGCAUCCAACACUAUGUUAUUUUGUUACCUCUUUUCUUGUGGGGGAGCGUGCCUAGUUCAUUAGCAUUUUGUUUUGUUUUCUCCUACAGUAGUCCUUCAGGCAACACCCACAUUUCUGUAGUUUUCUUUAAGUUUUUUUAGGUUAUUUUUAAUCUUGCCAGUAAUAUGCUUUCUGUUGUCUUUGGAAGGUGCUCAAUGUAAUUCUUGCACUAAAAAGUAUUUCAACUUCAAGAACGAAUAGAGAGAUGUUUUAGAGGAUCACUCUUUUUUUUUUUUCCCAAUAUGUUCUUUUAUAGUAUCUUUCUGUUGUAAGAGACAGAUUCAAGAACCAAAAAUAGCCUUCAUUUAGGUGGAAGUUUGUCCUCAGGAAGAUCAGCUUUAUGACUACAGAGAGUGUAUUAGCUGCGAAUCUAGGUUCAGGAAGAGUGCUUCAUGCUGCUCCAUUUCUCUCCUCCAUAUGAAACGUUCACAGAUCUUUACAUAAGAAUCUGAUGCCUCUUUUUCUUCUAUAUUUGUCCUUGUUUACUGCUCCACCCAAUUUGGUGUCCUUUGCAAAUGUCACCUGGCUUCUUAGCCUUUGCCAUUCCCAUGCUCUUUCAAAUUGCUAAUGGGAAUGUUAAAAUGGGACCUAAAAAUGACCCUCUGGUAAUGUGCAUUUACUGCCAAUCCAUUACAAUACUGUUUAGUUUUGUUGCUGGGAUAGUUUUCAGAAUGUGGGAUGGGGUUAAAUCUGAGCAGAUUUGAAUGCCUUAUAUGAGUGACGUUCAGGAACAGUACCUGAAAUUCUCUGCUAAAGUUAAAAACUUCAUUCAUAUUCUGAAACACCACUGCAGUGCAAUUUCUAGCAUUUGAAACUCUUCAGUAUAGCUUGCUUAGUAGUACUACAGUCCAUAAUUAGUGUUGCUAUGGAUAAGUUUUGUUUUUUUUUUAAAGUUGGUACUUCUGUGUUCAGAAGGUAACAAAUGAGUAUCUAUCUAUCUUGUACUCAUCUGUUGAUUUGUGGCAGUGUAGGUGUUAAUGAGUGUAACAAUCCCCUAGCAUGUCUAUUAUUAUUAUUAUUAUUAUUUUUUUCCCUAAUACUUGGGAUGGAGAAUAUACUUGAAUCCAGAUAUCUGGACUUGCCUUUUCAGAUUUAGCUAUC
rnacentral:lncRNA from 1 species